rfam:Clostridiales bacterium 41_21_two_genomes Ley3_66761_scaffold_1164, whole genome shotgun sequence.
AAGGCUUUCAUAUAUUUGCCGAAGACAGCAGGUGCCGCAAGGCAUAAGGAGAAAACGCCUGCCGAGGAGAGAUCUAUAUUAAAGAUUAUCUUUGCCUCUCUGUCUUUGCAGAGAGGCAUUUUUCGGCCUUUUC